UGAGAGUGCACGCAGGCGUACUGGUCACCGCUCUCUUAAUUUUAGUCCGCACUCCGGCGCCGGCCAAAUCCAGCAGCUCGGGGUUCCUUUUCCCUGCGCCUCAAAUGAAGUUUUACGGUUAGCCCCACGGCUUCCUGUCACACCUGGUGCAUUUGGGAGCUGCUGCUGUUAGCAGGUCACAGGGGGACAGACCAGAUCUGCAGCCUUGCUGUCACCUGGAAGCUGGUUCGAAAUUUAGCAUCUUGGUCUGCAACCCAGAACAACUGGAUUGGAAUCUUCAUUUUAACAAGAUCUUCCCCAGGUGACUCAUCUGCACAUUAAAGUUUGAGAAGUGCUGUUCUAGUCUA